rnacentral:misc_RNA from 1 species
UACGAAGGGUGCAAGCGUUGUCCGGAUUUAUUGGGUUUAAAGGGUGCGUAGGCGGUCUAUUAAGUCAGUGGUGAAAGGCUGCAGCUCAACUGUAGCAUUGCCAUUGAUACUGAUAGACUUGUGUACAGACGAGGUAGGCGGAAUUGAUAGUGUAGCGGUGAAAUGCAUAGAUACUAUCAAGAACACCGAUUGCGAAGGCAGCUUACUAGGCUGUAACUGACGCUGAGGCACGAAAGCGUGGGGAGCAAACAGG